rnacentral:rRNA from 2 species
GUUGACCUCGGAUCAGGUAGGAAUACCCGCUGAACUUAAGCAUAUCAAUAAGCGGAGGAAAAGAAACCAACAGGGAUUCCCCUAGUAACGGCGAGUGAAGCGGGAACAGCUCAAAUUUGAAAUCUGGCCCUUGGGUCCGAGUUGUAAUUUGCAGAGGAUGCUUUUGGUGCGGUGCCUUCCGAGUUCCCUGGAACGGGACGCCUUAGAGGGUGAGAGCCCCGUACGGUUGGCCACCAAGCCUGUGUAAAGCUCCUUCGACGAGUCGAGUAGUUUGGGAAUGCUGCUCAAAAUGGGAGGUAUAUUUCUUCUAAAGCUAAAUACUGGCCAGAGACCGAUAGCGCACAAGUAGAGUGAUCGAAAGAUGAAAAGCACUUUGAAAAGAGGGUUAAAUAGCACGUGAAAUUGUUGAAAGGGAAGGAUUUAUGACCAGACUUUUUCUGGGGGGAUCAUCCGGUGUUCUCACCGGUGCACUUCCCCCAGUGGAGGCCAGCAUCGGUUUCUGCCGGGGGAUAAAAGCUUCGGGAAUGUGGCUCCUUCGGGAGUGUUAUAGCCCGUUGCAUAAUACCCUGGCGGGGACCGAGGUUCGCGCAUUGCAAGGAUGCUGGCGUAAUGGUUAUUAAUCACCCGUCUUGAAACACGGACCAAGGAGUCGAACAUUUGUGCGAGUGUUUGGGUGUUAAACCCUCACGCGUAAUGAAAGUGAACGGAGGUGAGAGCCCCUCGGGGUGCAUCAUCGACCGAUCCUGAUGUCUUCGGAUGGAUUUGAGUAAGAGCAUAACUGUUCGGACCCGAAAGAUGGUGAACUAUGCGUGGAUAGGGUGAAGCCAGAGGAAACUCUGGUGGAGGCUCGCAGCGGUUCUGACGUGCAAAUCGAUCGUCAAAUCUGCGCAUGGGGGCGAAAGACUAAUCGAACCAUCUAGUAGCUGG